GAUGAACGCUGGCGGCGUGCCUAAUACAUGCAAGUCGAGCGAACAGACGAGGGGCUUGCUCCUCUGACGUUAGCGGCGGACGGGUGAGUAACACGUGGAUAACCUACCUAUAAGACUGGGAUAACUUCGGGAAACCGGAGCUAAUACCGGAUAAUAUAUUGAACCGCAUGGUUCAAUAGUGAAAGACGGUUUUGCUGUCGCUUAUAGAUGGAUCCGCGCCGCAUUAGCUAGUUGGUAAGGUAACGGCUUACCAAGGCAACGAUGCGUAGCCGACCUGAGAGGGUGAUCGGCCACACUGGAAUGGAGCCGCGGUCCAGACUCAUACGGGAGGCAGCGGUAGGGAAUCUUCCGCAAUGGGCGAAAGCCUGACGGAGCAACGCCGCGUGAGUGAUGAAGGUCUUCGGAUCGUAAAACUCUGCUAUUAGGGAAGAACAAAUGUGUAAGUAACUAUGCACGUAUUGACGGUACCUAAUCAGAAAGCCACGGCUAACUACGUG
rnacentral:rRNA from 1 species